rnacentral:lncRNA from 1 species
AGAAACUAGAAUCUCUCCUCCAACGCCAUCGGCUGGAGAUAAAGACACGGAUAGACACGGACCAAAAAAACGAGAAGAGACGUAAAGGAGCUAGAUUAGCGGGACGGGGAGGAUGGAGAGAGACCUGGUGACCGCUCAUCUGGUGAACGGCGGUGCGGCAAACAUCGACCUGACGAGGACGCUGUGAGAUAUGAGCAGAGUCCGCAGCCGAAUGAUCGGUCGAGGCUUCGGCGGAGGUGGAAAGGGCGUCGGCGGAGGC